rnacentral:lncRNA from 1 species
UUGUUAGUAGAAUCUUUUUUUAUUCAGAAAAAAAAAAAAGAACAAAACAAAAAAAAAGUAAAACAAAAAUGAAACCCAAAAACAAUUUUUUCCCAAACACACACAGGAGGGGGUAUGGGUAGGGGGAGGUAUCUGUCCAUCCAGCCCCAGCCCCCAGCCCAUGUGGUUUUGGCAGCAAUAAGGGAAAUGGGGUAAUGGCCCAAAAAAUAAUGGUGUGUGUGUGUAUGGAAAGAAGGGGGUGCAAAAGCCAAAGGGAGCGGUGGGGGAAGGGACAGAUGAGGUCAGUACUGGGAACGCCGCAGGUGAGAGGCCAUUUCAUAACAUUUCUUGUUGAUCAAACCACCGUGGACACCUUCUUUGCCCAUCAGCAGGACUAGCGCUGGAGGAAAGAGAAAGGAAGCUAGGACCCAGGUGUCACAAUUCAACCCAGCCAGCUGUUCAGCAGCUGUCCAGCCCCGGGGGUUGUAACCUAACCUCAUUCCCUCCUCCCCUUAUACACAGGCAGGCUGUCAGUCACCCUAAAACAAUAGAGCUUUUCAAAGAAGAAAAAAAGCUUUAAGACUAGUAAAGAAAGAACAAAAUUUAGAGGUCAUAGGCUUACAGGUUGUAGACUGAUGUGGCUAGGAACUGCUUCCUACCUCAGGUCUUUACAGAACUCAAGAUUAGAGCCAAAUGCUGACUUAAGAUUCCAACAGUCUACUCCCAACAAACUAAUCUCAAAAAGCUCAAAGCAAGAAGACACUUAAGAGGUAAUGUAGUUUCUUUACACAAUGGGGAUAUGGGGAGCCAUCCAAGGUUCCCAUAUCCAGCAGAGUAAAUACUGUUUUGCAGCUCUGACACACAUAAAACCAAGUGACUAACAGGAAGUUAGGGAUUUCAAAGCCAGCGAAUCAAACUUACUCUUGGCAGUCAUGGUGACAGUGACAUUGAAGGUGGUGGCAGGGACAGCAGCAGCCUUAUCCCUUCACUUUUACCGUCUCAGAACUUCUCGCAAAGUUCCCCUACUCCGAGCCCUGCCGGAUGGCGGGAAGGGAGGGUGAGGGGACUUCCGGGAUUGGCCUCA